AUUGAACGCUGGCGGCAGGCCUAACACAUGCAAGUCGAGCGGAUGAAUCGAGCUUGCUCCUGGAUUCAGCGGCGGCCGGGUGUGUACUGCCUUUGAAUCUGCCUUGUCUUGGGGGAUAACGUCCUGAUACGGGCUCUUAUCCCGCAUACGUCCUGUUGUCGCAAUUGGGUGUUCUUCGGACCUCUCGCUUUCUUAUUAGCCUAGGUCGGAUUAGCUAGUUGGUUGGGUAAAGGCCUACCAAGGCGACGAUCCGUAACUGGUCUGAGAGGAUGAUCAGUCACACGGGAACUGAGACACGGUCGAGACACCGACGGGAGGAAGCAGUGGGGAAUAUUGGACAAGGGGGGAAAGCGUGAUCCAGCAAAGCCGCGUGUGUGAAGAAGGUGUUCGGAUGGGAAAGCACUGAAAGUUGGGAGGAAGGGAAGUAAGUUAAUACCGGGCGGUAAUGACGGUACCAACAGAAUAAGCACCGGCUAACUUCGUG
rnacentral:rRNA from 1 species